rnacentral:misc_RNA from 1 species
CUUUAAUGUUUACUCUGGUAUAAGCGAGUCGGUUGACGAAAAGAAUACCAACAGAAUCGAUAAUACUUAUAAAAAAAGCGAGUGGGACUUGAUACUUUAAUAAGAAUAUUCGAAGCACUUUUAGUGAUAUAUCUCCUUCAUAUCUUAUAAAGUUGAUGACAUAUUUUGCUCAAGUUAGAUGCGCCAGUUUCUUAAUAGAAUUUUAUUAUAAUUUCGUUUCGUCCAUGAAAGAAGUUUCUUGAAUGUAGGCUACCAAAAUACGAGAUGCUUUUGUAUCUGCUAUAAGAAGACAUAGAUGAAAAGAAAUCAGGAUCGUAACGGACUUAAUAAGUAUUUUUCCUUGAUGCUCUAUAACACUCUCAUCCAUCAUACUAAAUUGUCAUUUAUCACUCUAAUUCAAAUAAUUAGUCAGAAAUUAUGUUUAGAUUUUAUUGAGACGCUGGACACGAGGUUUUCAGUCAUUUAGAAUCAGUGGAACAGGAAGGUAAUGCUUUUUUUAUGCUUCUCAGCUAUUUUCGUCUGCCUUGGAUUCGCAGCUAAAGGACAGGUGGAAUUUAAAGAGCAAGUUGUGGUUGAGCAGGUUUUAGAAAACUGCAAAUCAGCUUGCAUCUUAUCGAGACCUAUAAGAGAUGCGAAACAAAAAGUUACUGUUGAAAUGAUGAUUAGGUUGGUUGAAAUUAUUGAUGGAGACCCUAAACUUGGAGAGUUUACAUUAAGAUUGGCAGAGGAUUAUUCUUGGAUAGAUUCAAGGUUAUCGUGGCCAGAUUCGGAUGUUGAUAUGAUCAGCCUUCCUGAUAAGUAUAUCUGGAUUCCUGAUAUUAAACCCAACAAUUGUAGAAUUUCGUAUGAUUCUUAUUCGGCUGCAUACCGUUCUCAUCCAGCGAAGAUAAAAAGAAAUGGAAGCGUUCAUUGGAGUAAAUAUCGCCUUAUGAAGGUGAAAUGUAAGUUCGAUAGAUCCAAACCAGUAUUAACGAACAUGUAUGCAUGUACAAUUAUUUAUUACUCAUCAAUUUGGAAUGCUAAUCAGCUAGACGUAACUUCUAUGACGAACUCAAUAACGAAACAUGUUGAUUACGUAGAAAACUCUUUUUGGAACCUUAAGAAAUUAGGUGCAAAAAUAAUACAUUAUAGAGAUAAAUGCUGUAAGGAUUUAUUUGUCCUAAUUAAUGUAACUUUUCAUUUUACACAUGCUUCUUAUUUUGUGUAAGCAUGUAUUGCAAUAGACGCAAUAGAAACUAUUGUGCUAUAGUAUAGAAAAGCGUUAUCGUAUUUCAAAAUUUAUUAUUUCGAAUAGAAUGAGCAGUAAACAUAAAAAGAUUGGUAUCAUCUUUGUUUUUCUCUUUGUUGCGCUCACAUUCAAUGAAGAGUAAUCUGACUUCUUUCUAGGGAGUACAUCUUAGCAUUUCUUCAAAUAUUUCCUUCUCUUCCGGUCAUUUUGAGAUGAGAAAAUAUGAAAAUACUUGUUCGACCUUAAAACACACUUAUCCUUUUAAAAGAAAAUUAAUAGAAAUGAAAAAAUGAAACAUAAUAAAGUACUGAGGCGGAAAUAGAGUCAAUACUCUUUCUUCAUUUUUAGUUUUUCCAGAUGCACAUUAUAACAGGUUGAUCAUAAUGUAAAAGUGGAAUUUAAAGUAUCGACACGUCUUCCUAGAAUGAUAAAUAUGAAAGAGUUAUUUUAAUUUCCACCAUUAUUAUUUAUUUAAUUAGAUAUCAAGCUGUGGGAUUUCUGUCGGGAUAUUUCAAAUAUGCUGUAAAGGAAGAUAAAUAAUACAUUAUUGAUGUGAGGGAUUAGCAAAGAUAAUUGUAGGUAUAUAUUUAUAUGUUUAUCCGCCUCCACCUUGUUAUCCCUUCAGAAUAGCACAACCACAAAAGUUCCCAGAAGACAGACAAAAUUUCUCAGCAUGCUACUUAUAGUAUGAACAAUGUCGUGUGAGGAAUAAAAAAAAUUACGAGUCGCAAAAUGAGGGAGAUAUGCCCUAUUCUGUUUCGUUAGUUAGGGAAACGUUGCUGUCGAACCGAUUUAUCUCUG